AUAUAUUAAAUAAAUAUACCUAUUGAUUUUUAUUAACAGUAGUCAUCAAUACAAAAGUUUAACGCAACUAAAGUUCCAGAAAAAAUACAAAAUGAAAUUUUUGGCAAUUAUUCUAAUUUUUUCCUUGGUGGCAGCUAUCUACUGUAAAGACGAUAAUACAGCUGCAUCAUCCUCGACUACGAAUUCAGCAUCGACUUCAACUUUAACAACAGCAACACCCACACAAUCGUCUGUAGAAACAACCACCAAUGGCGCAGUUGUAAAUAUGGUCCCAUCGUUCGCUGUACUUAUAGGCACAGCGCUUUGGUGUCUUAGUUGAAGUAAUCAGCAAACAAAGUAUAUUUCUACACACGUUCAAUGUUAAUCGUCGAACAAUUAAACUAAGAGUUGCGGCCUGCCAGACAUACGUUCGAUACGAAAUCAUUUUAAUAAUAGCAAUCUCCCUCUGUAGCCAUGUAGCAGCUUUUGAAUUUAAAUUUCAAUUCAUUAUUUUUUCUUCUUUCACAGCCUAAUAAUUUACCGCUUAUCGUUCUAGCGCUCACUGUUCUAAACUAUAACGUAUGGCUGGUAUGUCGCAGCUCGCACUCUAAAUAUUUAAUGUUAAAAUAUUUUCUUUGUCUUAGCACCUAAAAUGUCAUUUAUUGUGAUAAAUGUAGAUAGUUUAUGCAAUAUUUUACAUGCUCAUAAUAUUCGAUUCUUCUAAUAAAUAAUUUUACUAAUUACUUAAAUAAUUUUCUAUCAGUUGGUUUAUACCCAAGUGAAUCACAAAUAGCUAAUUCAUAAACGACUUAAUGGUACAUUAACUAAGCUAUGAAACACACACAUUAAUAAAAAUAAGGGAAAGGAAAGCCACUCCUACAUUUUUAAUAAUAAGACAUAAAAUUAUGAGUAUGUAAUUUUGUUUCAUAAUAUUUUUUUAUUUGUAAACUUUGGUUUUGAUCAUUGCAUUUCAUGUAUUAGGUAUCUACUUUUUUAUAUUAAUUAUUACAGGAAUAAACUAAAUUAUUACUUAUUCUA